UACCCGCCCCGGAGAGUGGCGGACGGGUGAGUAAUGUCUGGGAAACUCCUGAGGAGGGGGAUAACUCUGGAAACGGUAGCUAAUACCGCAUAACGUCGCAAGCCAAAGAGGGGGCUUCGGCCUCUUGCCAUCGGAUGUGCCCAGAUGGGAUUAGCUGUGUGGGUAACGGCUCCAAGGCGACGAUCCCUAGCUGGUCUGAGAGG
rnacentral:rRNA from 1 species